GGCCAAGCCUCCAGCGUCACGGCCCACGUCACCGGGCUUGGACAAACCCCAACGGACGUGACACCCAACUCAAAAUUCUAUCCAUCAACGUUUUACACCAUCAUUUGACGUCCGCCUCACUCCUCCCCUCACACCACCCUAAUCUCCCAAAUGCUCCGCUGCUGUUUGGGUGGGAAUCUCCUACGUCAAUGACAUCCUGCUGACAACGAAAAUGGAGCAAACUGAAUCCGACAUCAAGAGAGUUCUUCAAGACUAUCAGAAGAUCGGCUCCGGCGCUCGCUGCGAGGAGGCGAGGAUCGAAGUCUUGAACCGCGAGAUUAAGGUGUUGGAGGAUCGUGUUCGGGGCUCCGGUUCGGUGGAGUUGGAGCGCCACAGAAUGCGGAAUCUUCUCGACUAUCAGUCUACUCUCAUCGCUAGAGCUGUAUCUCGAACCGAGCUUCUUGCUGCUCUUUAUGAGGACCUUUUGCUUUUGUUUAUUCGGAGAAAACAGCUUCGAGGCUUUGAUGGUGCUGAGGGUUCUGGUGUUGAUGCAGCGCCAAAUGUUUCACUCAGCUCUGCAUUAUCAGGCGGUGAUGAUGAAAAUCAAAGAUUUGCAAAAAAUUGCUCCGAAUUGAGAUCAAUGCACAUUAUGAGAAUGAGUCAUCAUGAGGACUUGGAGGAAGAAACAACUGCAGAUCAACAACCCAUACCUUUAGGUGUAAAGUUGCUUCAAAUAAAUAUGAAUGAAGAUGCAUCCUUGACCAGCGAAGAUGGAUGUGAGUAUGGGGAUCUCCAGUAUAAGAAUAAUAUUUUAGAUAACAUUGCCAUGAGUAUCUUGGAUCCAAAUGCUAACAUUGAUAACAUUUUCAAAGAAGCAGUGGAGAAUUCUAAUAUCCUGUGUGUAGAAUCUGAAGAUUAUGCAGGUUCCAAGAAAGCACAUAGGAAAUCAUCUCGUGCAAAACGUUUGUUCGUGGAUUUUGAUGAAACUGGGAAUCCAACCGGUCCAAGUGCUGGAGUAUUUAAAAGAUCUAUUAAUUCAUAUGUAUGCCAACUUUUGCCUAUAAGAUUUAAGCAGAUAGGGGAGAUUCCAGUGGAAGACUACAAAUCUGUUGUUAAUGCACUAACAGAAAGAUAUAGUUUUGAUUUGGAUAUGAGCUACACAAGGAAAAAGAUUUCAUCUUGCUAUAGGCAACACAAGUAUAAAUUGCUAAUUCAGGUCAAGAAAGAUCUUGAAAGAGGCAUUGAACCACAAAAACCAUCCUAUGUGGAUGAAGAAGACUGGAAUGCUUUUGUGGCUAAAACAAAAGAUGAAGAAUUUGAUAGGAUUAGCAAGAAGAAUAAAGCAAGCAGAAGUCAGCAGAGUGCCCUUAACAAGAAAGAUGUGCAAUCGACUGCUCAUAAAAGAAAGAAAGGUGACCAAGGACCGGAGGGCAUUUCUAUCUGGUCGAAGUUGCACAAGCCCAAACAAGGGAUGGCAAAAUGGGCAGCUUGGUCAGGGUAUCCAGGGAAGCUGUUGGCCAUAGUUGAAGAUAGCCAAAAUGUAAGAAAUCUUUUGGCCUAUUCUCUGGUUAAAUUGAUUUUGUUACUGGUUCUUUCGUCUCUUAAAUACUCUCUCAAACCAUUUUCACAUUUGCGUCUUUUCUUAAUGGCUAUUAACUAUAUACUGAAAUUCACAGAAAUUAUAUCAACUUAAGCAAGAUGUUUUCUUGAUUUUGAACCUCUUUUUCUCACUUAAGUUAAAUUAUCAUUGAGAUUUUCCUACAAAGGACCACAAUACAUGACUCUAUGGACACUAUGGUUCUUCCUAUCAAUGAUGCUGUUAGCAGAUAUGUUUAAACUGACUAAUCCAUUCUUGUUUAUCAGAUAUAAAAUUUUGAUUAUUUUUCCAGGUUAUGGACACUAUGGUUCUUCCCAUCAAUGAAGAGGUGGUUCAAGAACAGGACCUUGAGUCUGAACUCCCCUUGAAGGAUUAUCCACAACUUGAUACUCCAAGUCAAUAUGAUUACUG